GUGUUAUACAGGUGGAUAGUUGUUCAACAAAAUGAUAUCUGAACUUCAAGCUGGUACCAUAAAAAAAUUUACUUCGGUGUUCUGAAGUUUAUCAAUAAAGUGUAAUAUAUUUGACCAUUAGCGACACCCUUCACCAUAAGGCAUAGAUGUACCAAUGAUGUUAUUUCUUGAAGCCAAUUUGAAAUUUUGUAUCUCUUGUGAGUAGCAAGUAGACUGCUCAGGUUGAUCUUAUUUGUAUAUCUUGGAAUUGUUUCCUGGUUGAUAUAUUGGAAGAGCAUUGUUAGUCCAGAAUUAAUCAGUAUAAUUCAGUUUGGUUCAGUUCAGGACAUAUUAAGUAUGCUUUAGAACAAAUAAUCAAAAUUAUCUGUUAUGAAGAACAUAUUAGGCUUGUGUUUUCAAUCUCCCUGUACUUCUAUGGUUCCAAAUCUUCUCCUAUAGUUUUAUUGUCUUAACUGCUUGUAGAACUGUACUGCAAGUUAGUUUAUUAUUGAAGAAAAAAUCAUUUAUUAUGAUGUUGUCAGCUUGUGCUUAAUUUUGUGAUUGCUAAAGGCAAGGAAAAGAGAUGGUGCAGAAGGAGCUUCAGCAGGCAUGAUGGUUCGUUAACCACAAUGUCGCAAGGCCAUCCCCAUGGCUUGGUAACACUAUUUCAGGUUUGCCUCUCGCUCCCUACCCAGCCACCCUGUAGUGGAUGUUAUUAUUUUGGUUACUCCAUGGACUGAUUGGUUGCUGUUGUGGUUACUCCAUGGACUAAUAUGACCUUCAGCGAAACCAUUACUUUUACAAAAUUGCCUACCUUUGUUCUAGCAUAUUAAAUUUUAUCAGCAUGCUCGAGUGCCUAAACAUUGUUCUGUCGGAACAUUAUUUUUGUUUCUGCCGUCAUGAUAUGUGUGAAGUUUCAAAUGACUGGAGAUCUCACCAAUGGUCAUGGCUCCAAAACUUCCAUUUGUUCUAUUCAUAUGCUUAUCCUAUUUUUUAGGUAAUGGAAGAUGGUUCCUCAGUCUCUGCAUCGUUCCAUGAUUUAUAUUGCCCGGACUUUUUAUUUCUUUGUGGCUUGAUCUGGGAUCCUACUUUGUUAUACAAGCGCCUGCUAGUCAGUGCUUUGCCAUUGUUUUUAUUGGGAUCACUCUGCAUAUAAGAAUGUUUUUACAUACUGCAUUAUGCUCUAUCUACAUUGUAAUUUGACAUGUCAUCCUUGACAGUUACCUCUAUCUGUCUCAAGCUUAUAUUGUAGAAAUUAUGUUUUUGUUAAUUAUUACUAUAUAGUAUUCUUUCACUGUUUCAGAUAAAACCAGAAUGUUAUUUUUGGACUUAGUAGUUUUAGGUUAUUACAUAUAGUUGUCAUAAUUACAAUGCCCGAUGAGAAACAAAUUACUAGUUCAUUUAGUCUUGCCGACAAUAGCCGGGAACCACGACCACCAGCAUGCAGCAUGAGCAAUGGGUAGAGAAUGGAUGACUACCUCACUGGGAAACAUGGUCGCACACGUGCAGCAGAAAAUGAAUGGUGCAUGGAAAGGCCACCUCACUGGAACUAGGGCCACGACUUGUAGUGGGCAACUACUAGGUACAUUUUUGUUUCAAUAGUAAUUAGCUCACACGCUAUUGCAUAGCAGUUUCUAUAAUGUAAGUUUGCAAGGUUAGCUAGCCUAUGUGUUAACACUAAAUUGCUUGUAUAUAUAUGUGUCAUGGUUUCCUUUUCUAUCCAUGGUUAUGUAGCUCAUAAUCAUGAAAAUCCAGAGAGGUUGCGAAAGAGGUUGUCUUUUCUUCAGUGAAUGCUUAUGUAAUGGGCUAUAAAAUAAGCUAUUAGGUUGUAGGAACUCUGUUUCGGAUGGUCAAUGCCUUCAUUGUUGAUAAAAGUGCAAGCACAGGAACAUAGUUCUAUAUAGUACCAUGUGAUCCAAUUAUAACUUCUGUACAAACUAUAUUGUUAACUAUGAUAUCAUGAGGAUUUAUUGAUCAAAUAUGUGCUAAUCCACAUAUGAGCUUUGAGCAACUUGAAUUGAUUC
rnacentral:lncRNA from 1 species